rnacentral:rRNA from 1 species
UACGUAGGGUGCAAGCGUUAAUCGGAAUUACUGGGCGUAAAGCGUGCGCAGGCGGUUUUGUAAGUCUGUUGUGAAAUCCCCGGGCUUAACCUGGGAAUGGCAAUGGAGACUGCAAGGCUGGAAUCUGGCAGAGGGGGUAGAAUUCCACGUGUAGCAGUGAAAUGCGUAGAGAUGUGGAGGAACACCGAUGGCGAAGGCAGCCCCUGGGCUGAGAUUGACGCUCAGGCACGAAAGCGUGGGAGCAAACAGG